GCGACGGUGGUGAAGUGGUUAACACAUCAGAUUGUGGCUCUGACACUCGAGGGUUCGAUCCCCUUUCGUCGCCCCA
rnacentral:tRNA from 1 species